GGGCACCGCCAUGACGGAGCGGGGAUGGCGGGCGGAGCUCCCGGGGGCCGCUCGGGCCCGGGGCCGCCCCUGCGGCUCCCUGAGGGCUAAAAGGGCCUCGGUCCGUCGCGAUAUACGCCCCUGAGGGCUUCGGUUCCCCCUUCCGAGGUUGCCCGCACCCCCAGGUGUGCCAGCGGGCCGAGGCGUCAGGCAGCCGCCAUGAUGGCAGCCGGGCAUCCCCACAGGGAGCGCGCCCGGCGCUGUGGUCCCGGCGGGCCCGCAUGAGCCAAAAGCUGUAAAUGUUGCUCAGGGUGAGCCCUCUGCCCGGGCAAGCCCCCUCGGGUGGGUGUGGAAGGCCGGGUGGCGUGAGGAGCCCUGCGUGGCUUUGAAGGCAGCCGUUUCUUGGUGUGCAUUGAAAGCGUCCUGCGGCAGCGAGUCCCCUGACUGACCAGCGAUGUGGAUAGACAAACCACCCGAGGAGAUGAUGGGAGAGCCGUGUGUGUUUGUGCAUGCCCCCCUGAUGCUGCAGGGCUCUUGGCAUGCCGAAUCUUCCCCAUCAACCCUCGCCGGCUAAAAACCACCGGAGCCAGGACUCCCCUCUGGAAUUUCUCCGGUGGGCGACAGGAUGCCUC